rnacentral:rRNA from 1 species
AAACCCGGUGAUCUAGCCAUGGGCAGGUUGAAGGUUGGGUAACACUAACUGGAGGACCGAACCGACUAAUGUUGAAAAAUUAGCGGAUGACUUGUGGCUGGGGGUGAAAGGCCAAUCAAACCGGGAGAUAGCUGGUUCUCCCCGAAAGCUAUUUAGGUAGCGCCUCGUGAACUCAUCUUCGGGGGUAGAGCACUGUUUCGGCUAGGGGGCCAUCCCGGCUUACCAAACCGAUGCAAACUCCGAAUACCGAAGAAUGUUAUCACGGGAGACACACGGCGGGUGCUAACGUCCGUCGUGAAGAGGGAAACAACCCAGACCGCCAGCUAAGGUCCCAAAGUCAUGGUUAAGUGGGAAACGAUGUGGGAAGGCAUAGACAGCCAGGAUGUUGGCUUAGAAGCAGCCAUCAUUUAAAGAAAGCGUAAUAGCUCACUGGUCGAGUCGGCCUGCGCGGAAGAUGUAACGGGGCUAAACCAUGCACCGA